AAGAACAAAGGCUGGUCCCCGGGAGCUGUACCAGUUCUGGAGGUCAGAAGUCGGAAAUCGAUCUCACUGGCCAAGAUGACGUUGUGCGCAGGGCCACGACCCCUCCCUCCGGUGGCUCCAGGGGCGAAUCUGCUUCUCUUGCGGCUUCUGGUGGCUGUAGGCAUUCCUCGGCUUGUGGCCAUGUCACUCCGAUCUCGGCCUCCUCCGUCCUCACAUCCCCUUCUCCUCUCUCCUUUGUCUAAUCUCCGUCUGCCUCUCUCUUAUAAGAACACUUGUGACAGCAUUUAGG
rnacentral:lncRNA from 1 species